AUGGUUUAUAGAAAGCACCUAACAUUCUACCCUUUAUUAAUAAAUACACUCGAAAGCCUAGUGACACCUGGGAAAAAGCCUCCACAGUGCAAAAGAGAUUCCAGUGGUCUCAGAUGCCUGAGGCCCAUUUCUCCAGGACAUGAGGUUUUCAAUGCUAAAGUGUGGCAUGUUCAAGGACACAUGGCACAGUCUGAUAGAGCCAUGGGUAAUAACAAGCUGGCUGCAAAGAAGAGCACAGAAGAGGACGGUGGAACAGGCAUUGUGCAGAAUUCCCUUCUGGCAAGAGAAACCAAGAGAGCAACUUCAUCACACCGAUUCUUUCACGCUCCGGCAGCUUGUGACUCUCAUUAGCCAGGCCCAACUGAAACACGAUGGCCAGGUCAUCUAAUCCACAUGUACCAUGGGAAGACAGGACAGAGGGACACAUCUUUGAUGAUGGAGAGAGCAGUGUAGAAGAAGCCACAUCCUUGAUCCAGGGUACGAAGGAACAGGAUGAUGUUUGUUUAGAACAUGAAGUUGAUUGGAAUAAAAUGUAUUGAGUAAUAUUAAUAAGCA
rnacentral:lncRNA from 1 species